UACAAUUGCUUGAUGCGGGUGGUCCUUC
rnacentral:piRNA from 1 species